rnacentral:rRNA from 1 species
GACGAACGCUGGCGGCGUGCCUAAUACAUGCAAGUUGAGCGAUGAAGAUUGGUGCUUGCACCAAUUUGAAGAGCAGCGAACGGGUGAGUAACGCGUGGGGAAUCUGCCUUUGAGCGGGGGACAACAUUUGGAAACGAAUGCUAAUACCGCAUAACAACUUUAAACAUAAGUUUUAAGUUUGAAAGAUGCAAUUGCAUCACUCAAAGAUGAUCCCGCGUUGUAUUAGCUAGUUGGUGAGGUAAAGGCUCACCAAGGCGAUGAUACAUAGCCGACCUGAGAGGGUGAUCGGCCACAUUGGGACUGAGACACGGCCCAAACUCCUACGGGAGGCAGCAGUAGGGAAUCUUCGGCAAUGGACGAAGGUCUGACCGAGCAACGCCGCGUGAGUGAAGAAGGUUUUCGGAUCGUAAAACUCUGUUGGUAGAGAAGAACGUUGGUGAGAGUGGAAAGCUCAUCAAGUGACGGUAACUACCCAGAAAAGGACGGCUAACUACGU